rnacentral:rRNA from 1 species
UACGUAGGGUGCAAGCGUUAAUCGGAAUUACUGGGCGUAAAGUGUGCGCAGGUGGCUGAGCAAGUCGAGUGUGAAAUCCCCGGGCUUAACUUGGGAAUUGCGCUCGAAACUACUUGGCUCGAGUGUGGCAGAGGAAGGUGGAAUUCCAGGUGUAGCGGUGAAAUGCGUAGAGAUCGGCAGGAACACCCAGGGGGAAACCAGUCGACUGGGCAUCUACUGACGCUGAGGUGCGAGAGCGUGGGGAGCGAACCGG